GAUGAACGCUAGCUACAGGCUUAACACAUGCAAGUCGCGGGGCAGCAUGACAUCAGCUUGCUGAUGUUGAUGGCGACCGGCGCACGGGUGAGUAACGCGUAUCCAACCUGCCCUUUACUAUGGGACAGCCCGUCGAAAGGCGGAUUAAUACCGUAUGUUGUCAUGUUGAUGCAUAUUUUCAUGACCAAAGGCUUCGGCCGGACAGGGAUGGGCAUGCGGCGCAUUAGGCAGUAGGCGGGGUAACGGCCCACCUAACCGACGAUGCGUAGGGGUUCUGAGAGGAAGGUCCCCCACACUGGUACUGAGACACGGACCAG
rnacentral:rRNA from 1 species